CCUACGGGAGACAGCAGUGGGGAAUAUUGCACAAUGGGGGAAACCCUGAUGCAGCGACGCCGCGUGAGUGAAGAAGUAAUUCGUUAUGUAAAGCUCUAUCAGCGGGGAAGAAAAUGACGGUACCUGAGUAAGAAGCCCCGGCUAACUACGUGCCAGCAGCCGCGGUAAUACGUAGGGGGCAAGCGUUAUCCGGAUUUACUGGGUGGAAAGGGAGCGUAGACGGCAGUGCAAGUCUGGAGUGAAAGGCGGGGGCUCAACCCCCGGACUGCUCUGGAAACUGGACGGCUGGAGUGCAGGAGAGGUAAGUGGAAUUCCUAGUGUAGCGGUGAAAUGCGUAGAUAUUAGGAGGAACACCAGUGGCGAAGGCGCCUUACUGGACUGUAACUGACGUUGAGGCUCGAAAGCGUGGGGAGCAAACAGGAUUAGAUACCCGAGUAGUC
rnacentral:rRNA from 1 species